rnacentral:rRNA from 2 species
UACGUAGGGUGCGAGCGUUAAUCGGAAUUACUGGGCGUAAAGCGUGCGCAGGCGGUUCGUUGUGUCUGAUGUGAAAGCCCCGGGCUCAACCUGGGAAUGGCAUUGGAAACUGGCGAGCUAGAGUGUGGCAGAGGGGGGUGGAAUUCCGCGUGUAGCAGUGAAAUGCGUAGAGAUGCGGAGGAACACCGAUGGCGAAGGCAGCCCCCUGGGCUGACACUGACGCUCAGGCACGAAAGCGUGGGGAGCAAACAGG